GUUCCUCUCCUCCUUCCUCCUCUCCGGUGAUGAACCGUACAUAUUAAUAUUGUGUGGGUGCGGGUUGUCGUCGGCAGCGAGAGAACUUCCCUCUCUCCGAAGAAGAGCGCUUCGGGAAUGCAGGAAACGGCGCCAGCCAGGAUUCUUCCUUGGCUGGAAAGCGAGAAAAAGGACAAGGAGACGCCAUGGCCCCUCUCUCGUCUCUUACAAUGCCGAUGCUUCCAUCCCUUCCCUCCUUUAAAUCUCCCCGCCUUCGAGUUCGGAGAUGCUCCAAGAACCCUAGUUCUCGGCUUCUUUUCGGGUUUCUUGUCUUCUCCAGGUUCUUGCCGAUUCCCUGGCUGAAAGAUCGGACUAGUGCAUUCGCCGGAGGCGCGGAAACCCUGGGGAUCGAGGGAUUUCUUGGAGAAAAUGAUUUGAUUUCGAGACAUUUUGUGGUUGUUGAGAUUUGCUGGAGCUGAGUUCUUGCUGCGGAAACCCUCGGAAUUGAGAUGUUUUGUGGAGGAAACGCUGUAGUUAUUGAGAUACGACAAACCCUUGUUUGAGGUUAUUGCUUGGUUGUCUUUGUGAAAUUGCAGUCGUUGGUAUGUGCUGCUUGUGAGGCCGCAAUCAGAGCGGAAAAGAUAUGCAUUUUAUUCUAGGAAAAGAAUGAAUACUUCAGUCCAUACAAGAUGAAAUGAAAAAUCUACAUAAAUAGAGAGGUGCAGAGAAAGGAGGAAAAGAGGAGGAGAAAUGGUAGGGAUCGUAGCACACUUCCAAGGCUAUAUGACGAGACCCCAACCCUCUCUUCUGGUUUGCUGCAGAGAUAUUUCAUGACUUGCACGAAGAAGUGAUGGCCACGGCUGCUAGAGGGCAUGGACUGAUGCUUCGUGUCCAGCAGCUAGAGGCAGAAUUUCCAUCAAUCGAGAAGACCUUCUUCACUCAGACAAAUAAUUCAAGUUUCCCUUGCAAUGAUGGUUAGCGUGCAUUUGUAAAUUCUUCAAUAAUGCUAAUUUGUUGUUGUAUUUUUAAGGUCACAAACAAAGUUUAAAAAAACAUAGGUCUGUUCGCAGUUUGGUUAAGCUGAUGCAGGUUCACUUAAGUAGUUUUAGGAAUUAACCACUCUAAUUAUUGAAAAAGGAGCUUAGUUAAAAACUUUUAUUACGUAUUAGGUUGAAUUGUUGUUUUGUAUCUUUUCUCUUAAUUGAUUAUCCUGAAACAUUAAAGAAGAAGCAAUAUUGUGACAUCAGAACUGGUAAGAAUGUUAAUCCCUUGGAAGCAUCCAAGUUCCAACAUUUUAGUUCAUAUAUAUUCUUAUGAUUGUUGUUAAUGUGACCAUGCUGUAGGCAUUGACUGGCAUGCUAAUAUUCAAUUGGAUCAGAAUCUAAUCACGCAAGGAGAUAUGCCUCGUUUUAUCGUGGAUUCUUAUGAAGAGUGUCGUGGUCCACCUCAUUUAUUUACACUGGACAAGUAUGAUGGUGACACCGGGACCUCAUCUGCGAUAUUUAAAAGUUGUCUUUGAUGACCCGUCCUUGGUCCUUCAGGUUUGAUGUUGCUGGCGCCGGUGCAUGUUUAAAAAGAUAUUCUGAUCCCUCUUUCUUUAAGGUGGUGUUAGCCUCCUCUGGAAUGCUGGAAACAGAGCUCCCAAGAGAAAAGAAAGCUCGUAAGACCAAGAUUCCUGAGACUUCAAAAGCUCAUAGAGAUGAUGAUGAUGGAGCUGAAUCCCGUCCUUGAUACCUUCUAGACUUGUAUAUGUUUCUUAUUUUGCAAAGUACAUUGUAAUUCUAAGAUAUGACAAUUUAAAUAUUUUGAAUGAUUUGAAUGUUUGUCUCAA